UCCGGUUUGUCACCGGCAGUCAUCUUAGAGGGCCCACCAUGAUGUGCUGGCAACUAAGAUCAAGGGUUGCGCUCGUUGCGGGACUUAACCCAACAUCUCACGACACGAGCUGACGACAACCAUGCACCACCUGUCUCCUCUGUCCCGAAGGCCUGCGAUGUCUCCACCGCAUUCAGAGGGAUGUCAAGACCUGGUAAGGUUCUUCGCGUUGCUUCGAAUUAAACCACAUACUCCACUGCUUGUGCGGGUCCCCGUCAAUUCCUUUGAGUUUCAGUCUUGCGACCGUACUCCCCAGGCGGUAUGCUUACUGUGUUAACUUCGGCACCAAGGGCAUGGAAGCCCCUAACACCUAGCAUACAUCGUUUACGGCGUGGACUAC
rnacentral:misc_RNA from 1 species